rnacentral:rRNA from 1 species
CUGGCGGCGUGCCUAAUACAUGCAGGUCGAACGCACUCUCGUUUAGAUUGAAGGAGCUUGCUCCUGAUUGAUAAACAUUUGAGUGAGUGGCGGACGGGUGAGUAACACGUGGGUAACCUGCCCUAAAGUGGGGAUAACAUUUGGAAACAGAUGCUAAUACCGCAUAAAACCUAACACCGCAUGGUGUAGGGUUGAAAGAUGGUUUCGGCUAUCACUUUAGGAUGGACCCGCGGUGCAUUAGUUAGUUGGUGAGGUAAAGGCUCACCAAGACCGUGAUGCAUAGCCGACCUGAGAGGGUAAUCGGCCACACUGGGACUGAGACACGGCCCAGACUCCUACGGGAGGCAGCAGUAGGGAAUCUUCCACAAUGGACGAAAGUCUGAUGGAGCAACGCCGCGUGAGUGAAGAAGGUUUUCGGAUCGUAAACUCUGUUGUUGGAGAAGAAUGUAUCUGAUAGUAACUGAUCAGGUAGUGACGGUAUCCAACCAGAAAGCCACGGCUAACUACGUG